CAGGCUAGUGCUGGAGCCAAAGAAAGAAAUGACAUGUCAGAAAAUAUUACUUCAACGGUCAAAAAAUAUUUCGAAUUUUGGAGACGUCGAAAAAAUGCAGCUCAUUUAUACAUAGAUGGUAGUAACCCAAUCUCAAAAGGCGGAGUGAUACAGUGGAAGGAUACGGAUCGUUUUGGCACUGCUUUUAUCUCAGACUUACUUUUGGAGGAUAACAAACAACUACUGAUUAAGGAAAAUGGAAAAUACUAUGUUUAUUUAGCACUAAACGUUCCACAAGAUCAGCGACGAGAGAGUAGGAAUUUUCACGUCAUUUUACGAGUUAAUAAAAGUACUAGAACACUAGGACCUGAUAUUCUUUUAAGCAAGAAAUUCAAAAACGAUGAAAAUAGGAAAAG